GAUGAAGAACGUAGUGAAAUGCGAUACGUAAUGUGAAUUGCAGAAUUCAGUGAAUCAUCGAGUCUUUGAACGCACAUUGCGCCCCCUGGUAUUCCGGGGGGCAUGCCUGUCCGAGCGUCAUUGCUGCCCUCAAGCACGGCUUGUGUGUUGGGCCUCCGUCCUCCUCCCGGGGGACGGGCCCGAAAGGCAGCGGCGGCACCGCGUCCGGUCCUCGAGCGUAUGGGGCUUCGUCACCCGCUCUUGUAGGCCCGGCCGGCGCUUGCCGACACAUCAAUCUUUUUUCAGGUUGACCUCGGAUCAGGUAGGGAUACCCGCUGAACUUAAGCAUAUCAAUAAGCGGAGGA
rnacentral:misc_RNA from 1 species